rnacentral:rRNA from 1 species
CGGACGGGUGAGUAACGCGUGGAAAACCUGCCGUAUACUGGGGGAUAACGCUUAGAAAUAGGUGCUAAUACCGCAUAAGCGCACAGCUUCGCAUGAAGCGGUGUGAAAAACUCUGGUGGUAUACGAUGGUUCCGCGUCUGAUUAGCUAGUUGGUGGGGUAAUGGCCUACCAAGGCAACGAUCAGUAGCCGGCCUGAGAGGGUGAACGGCCACAUUGGGACUGAGACACGGCCCAAACUCCUACGGGAGGCAGCAG